rnacentral:snRNA from 1 species
AUCUUCACCUGGCAGGGGAGACACCGUGGGCACGACGGCGGUUCUCCCAGGGCGAAGCUUACCUGUUGCACUCUGGAUGUGCUUCCCCAGAUGUGGAAAACUCAACUGAAUAAUUUGUGUUAGUGGUGGACUUAAAAGAAGGCAAUGGAUAAGGGAUAGCUAUCU